AACGAACGCUGGCGGCAGGCCUAACACAUGCAAGUCGAGCGCGCCCUUCGGGGUGAGCGGCGGACGGGUGAGUAACGCGUGGGAACGUGCCCUUCUCUGCGGAAUAGCCUCGGGAAACUGAGAGUAAUACCGCAUACGCCCUUUGGGGGAAAGAUUUAUCGGAGAAGGAUCGGCCCGCGUUGGAUUAGGUGGUUGGUGGGGUAAUGGCCCACCAUGCCGACGAUCCAUAGCUGGUUUGAGAGGAUGAUCAGCCACACUGGGACUGAGACACGGCCCAGACUCCUACGGGAGGCAGGAGUGGGUAAUCUUAGACAAUGGGGGCAACCCUGAUCGAGCCAUGCCGCGUGAGUGAUGAUGGCCUUAGGGUUGUAAUGCUCUUUCAGCUGGGAAGAUAAUGACGGUACCAGCAGAAGAAGCCCCGGCUAACUCCGUG
rnacentral:rRNA from 1 species